rnacentral:rRNA from 1 species
UACGAAGGGAGCUAGCGUUGUUCGGAAUUACUGGGCGUAAAGGGCUCGUAGGCGGCCAACUAAGUCGGAUGUGAAAUCCCCAGGCUUAACCUGGGAAUUGCAUCCGAUACUGGAUGGCUUGAAUCCGGGAGAGGGAUGCGGAAUUCCAGGUGUAGCGGUGAAAUGCGUAGAUAUCUGGAGGAACACCGGUGGCGAAGGCGGCAUCCUGGACCGGCAUUGACGCUGAGGAGCGAAAGCCAGGGGAGCAAACGGG